CCCGCCACUAUGCCUGUCAGUCAGUGACUAAGUAUAAUCCAGUGGAGGCUCAGAGUGACCCAGCUUUAGGAAACAGAGCUGCCCCAACUAAUGGACAACUCUGUGCCGUAAAGUCUGGAACACAA
ensembl:snoRNA